rnacentral:rRNA from 1 species
UACGGAGGGUGCAAGCGUUAUCCGGAUUCAUUGGGUUUAAAGGGUGCGUAGGCGGAAUGAUAAGUCAGUGGUGAAAUCCUGCAGCUUAACUGCAGAACUGCCAUUGAUACUGUCAAUCUUGAGUACAUUUGAUGUGGGCGGAAUGUGUCAUGUAGCGGUGAAAUGCUUAGAUAUGACACAGAACACCGAUUGCGAAGGCAGCUCACAAAAACUGUAACUGACGCUGAGGCACGAAAAGCGUGGGUAUCAAAACAGG